rnacentral:SRP_RNA from 1 species
GCCGGGCGCGGUGGCGUGCACCUGUAAUCCCAGCUACUCGGGAGGCUGAGGCAGGAGAAUCGCUUGAACCCGGGAGGCGGAGGUUGCAGUGAGCCGAGAUCGCGCCACUGCACUCCAGCCUCGGUGACAGAGUGAGACCCUGUCUCCA